rnacentral:rRNA from 1 species
AUUGAACGCUGGCGGCAGGCCUAACACAUUCAAGUCGAGCGAGCUGCUGACGUGUGAGUAAUUUAUUGGGACUGCCCGAUCUAGGGGGAUAACUACUGUAAACGUUAGCUAAUAUCUCCUACUAUCGGAUAACCCUUAUUGGAUUAGCUGGUAGGUGUGGUAAUGGCUCACCUAGGCGACGAUCCCUAGCUGGUCUGAGAGGAUGAUCAACAACACUGGGACGGAGAAACGGCCCAGACGCCUACGGAGGCAGAAGUGGGGAAUAUUGCACAAUGGGGGCAAGCCGGAUGCAGCAAUGCGGCGUGUAUGAAGAAGGCCCUAGUGUUGUAAAGUCCUUUCAGUCGGGAGGCGGUACCGACAGAGGAAGAACCGGCUAACUCCGUGCCAGCAGCCGCGGUAAUUC